AACACACUUCAUAUAAGGUCUUGGCUCAGAAAGUACAAUGAAAAGACGUAGGAAGCUGAGUGCUAAAAAAUAUUUUUUAUAUUAUCCGUGCCUUCACAACUUUCUGGGAAAAGGAACUGAUCAGCAGGAACUGAUCAACUCAGCAUCAUUACACUUGCUGUCCAAGCAAGCUUCUGGCAAAAUAAAUUCCACCUUAGCCUAGCUACUUUGUCAUAUCUACUCAGUAUUCAGUCAGCUGGGAAUGUUCCACGAAGUUCUUUCCAGCCUCUUUUUCUCCUUAAGUUACUUACCACCCCUCUUUGUUCUGCAUUCAAAUUCCAAAGGACUGGGGUGAAUCCUUUCUCAUGUUUCUUUCUGUUUUGCCCGGAGAACAAAUUCUUCAGAGAUAAGAAGAGAAUGAACAAGGAGAAUUAUUAUGCAGCGUUUGCCUUGAGAGAUGAUUUUGCGCUUUUCUGUUGUGUUUCUAACAAAAGCGUAUUCAGAACAAAGUAGAGAGAACAAGAGCCAGCAGGGGCCAGAUGCAUCCCCCACUAACCGCAACAGGUGAGCUGUCUGAAAUUGCUCAGAAGCUUCUCAGGACUGAGGUGCGGCAGGGGUUGUGGAGGUAGAAGGCACUGGCAGAGCUGUGCUGGCAGCUCAGGGAUGCUCCUCACACUGGAUGAUUUGUGUACUCUGCCUGCCACUAUUCACUUCCACUCCUACACAUACAUGUAUCUGCUUGCCUGUGGCCCCCCUCAUCUUUUUGAAAAGUAGCAUGAUUACUUUCAUCUACCUGGCUGUGUGAGGGUGCUGAG
ensembl:lncRNA